rnacentral:tRNA from 1 species
UCCCGGGGUGGAGAAACACGGCGAAAUGCAAGUUCGAAGACGCACCCGAGUGAGGUGCCGGGGCUU